AUGGGGGGAACCCUGAUCCAGCCAUGCCGCGUGUGUGAAGAAGGCCUUUUGGUUGUAAAGCACUUUAAGUGGGGAGGAGGCUUACCUGGUUAAUACCUGGGCUAAGUGGACGUUACCCACAGAAUAAGCACCGGCUAACUCUGUGCCAGCAGCCGCGGUAAUACAGAGGGUGCGAGCGUUAAUCGGAUUUACUGGGCGUAAAGCGCGCGUAGGUGGUUAAUUAAGUCAAAUGUGAAAUCCCCGAGCUUAACUUGGGAAUUGCAUUCGAUACUGGUUAGCUAGAGUAUGGGAGAGGAUGGUAGAAUUCCAGGUGUAGCGGUGAAAUGCGUAGAGAUCUGGAGGAAUACCGAUGGCGAAGGCAGCCAUCUGGCCUAAUACUGACACUGAGGUGCGAAAGCAUGGGGAGCAAACAGGAUUAGAUACCCUGGUAGUCCAUGCCGUAAACGAUGUCUACUAGCCGUUGGGGGAUUUGAUCCUUUAGUGGCGCAGCUAACGCGAUAAGUAGACCGCCUGGGGAGU
rnacentral:rRNA from 1 species